ACUAUAAAAGACGAGGCAACAACAUUGUGCGUCACGACGGGGUGAGGCGCUAUGGAAGGCAGGGAGGCUUCGUUGAUCUGGUGAAAUGUUCUUAUUUUGUUCUGUUUAAUUUUUUGAUAACUAAUAGGCAUUUUUAUUUACAAACCUUUAAAGUCUUAAAACUCUAGACGUUUUCCGUUGGUUAUACAAAGGUUUUCUUUUGAGUAGCAAGCGUGACGAAGAUAAAAUACAAGCUUACUUUUCACUUAAAUAGGUAACUUAGAAGUGCCUUUAUGAGAAAAAAUUCAUUUUUUGUUUAUCUUAAAAAGACAAAAAACGUCUUAUUUAGUCGAACAUUUAACGUUUAUCUUCAGGUUAAUGUUUAACUAGCUUACGUUACCGAAAGCCUAAACAAAGCUCGACUGUAAAUGGCUAAGCGAACGUUAUCCUUUUCACUUAACCUCAUUUUAAGCUUAUUUUUGUUUCAGCAAGGGUUUUCUGAAAUUACGUGAUUUUAUACACUUAUUUUUUUGACGCUUGUUUAGUUUGAUUCUCGACGCUAGAAAGAAUUUACAAAAUGGCGGUCGCGACGACGGAUUAGAUUUCGUUGAAGAAAAGCUGUUAUGAUUUCUCUUUUGUUUUCAAGUCAGAACAACCAAUAACAGUUUAUAUAAACCUAUAGAGUUAUAUUAGACCAACGUUAUAUACAGACCUACAUUUUAUUAUUUAUUUUUCUUUUUACAAUACCGAUUAGUAACAGCCUUUUAUGGUAACAGUAAGGACCCAGGGUAUCUACAACCAUUUUAACUUGUAAAUUUUCAAGGAAAAACUUUUUGUUUCUUUUUUUAUCUUCAGACCAUAACGAGUAAUAGCAGCCUUUUAUGGUAGUGAGGUCAAACAGCAAGUCUUUUUUUUCUAUCUUGAUAUUACGAUUAGUAAGUUGACCCAUUUAGCAAGGAUGAACUUAAAAGCAACCAGUUUAAAUUAGAUGGAGGGUAAACGACUACAAGGUUACAGUAGAUUUUACAGUAGAAAAAAAAAAUUCAUUUUUUUGUCAUUUAGGUUGACUAGCAAAACCACUAACGACCAUUUCAGUACAGCAAGGAAGAGCAUAUUUAAGCUACAGACUUUCUUAAAAAAAUAUAUAUUUUAGUAUGCCUGCCAUAACUUGAAAAUCAAUUACAACUUAUAUUUCAUUUAAAAAAAAAAAAAAGUAUUUUCUUUUAAUAUACCGCAAGUCCAUUGCAACUUAAUUAUGAUGGCAAACAUUUUAAAAAUGUAUUUCUUUUUAUUAUAACAGCCAUAACAAAUGUUACAAGUUUAUUAUGGUAGUAAACAAAAAAAAUCUUUUUAAUAUGCCAGCUAUAAUGUAAAUGUGUUACAACUUCAUUAUGAAUCCAAAUCAGUUUUAUUAAAACAAAGCAGCUGCUUUUGUUAAAAAAAAAAAAAAAACAGCAGAGAUUAAAUAAACCGAUCUACAAGACUAGAUUUUUCUAAAAUCUGAAAGAACAGUCUAGAACUGCCAAUGAGAUAGAGGAUUAACACAGUCAAGACUGCAGUAGAUUUUCUUAAACCAGUUUUGUUUUUACAAUUUUAACCUUUUAAUGGUCAGGAUAAAAAAAAAAAACACUAUUACUGAAGAUUUCAGUUUUCUUUUUAGUUUGCAUACACUUAAGGUAUAGUGAGGGCAAACCAUCAUUGCUAUGUUGUAAAUCUCAUUUUAUUUUAAACAGUCAUUUAUUUAUUUUUUUACCCGUUUUAUAUACAGUAGUACAAAUAAAUAACUACAAUCUAAGGCUACAGUAGAUCUUAAAGUUAUUUUGCUUGUAAACUAUUACACAAUAAUAACCACUUAAGUAGCAAAAACAGCCUACUGGAGAUUUAAAAAAUAAAAAAAAAAAGAACUUUUUCUCCAACCCAAAACUUAGCGGCUUAUAUGAUAGUAAGGGUGAGGUUGUCCACAGUAGAAGUCAACAGUAGAUUUUUAUUUAUUUUCUUUUGGGAAAGAAAACUUUUAAUUUAGUAUUUCAGUCUCUUGACUAAUUAUAGAGGGUAUCAAUAAUUAGUCAAGAUUACUUUUUUUUUUUUUUUAAACUACAAUAGAACAGUUUACGUUACCAAGAAUGCAGUAUUUACAUUUUUAUUUGUUUAUCUGCAAACCUUAUCCAAGAAAUGAGGAACAGCUUCUGAUAGCCAGAGUGCCAUUUUUAAGAGAUUUUAUUUUGUUUUUUGCAUACCAUAACAGAACAAUCACCAACGCUUAAAGCCAAAAAAAAAAAGCCAGACAAUUUUUUGAAAACUACAAUAGAACAGUUUACGUUAAUCAAGAAUGCAGUAUUUACAUUUUUAUUUGUUUAUCUGCAAACCUUAUCCAAGAAAUGAAGAACAGCUUCUGAUAGCCAGAGUGACAUUUAUAAGAGAUUUUUAUUUUGUUUUUUGCAUACCAUAACAGAACAAUCACCAACGCUUAAAGCCAAAAAAAAAAAAAAAAAGCCAGACAAUCAGAUGUAAAAGUCUUUUUAAAUAUUACUUUUGAAAAAAAAAAAAAAAAGCCUGCUCUUGUUGCCUAUUAGGAAGAAAUUACUGAACAUCAAGUGAGUGUUUUUAGUUUGGAAGACAACGAUUAUAGAUGCUGCCUCCUUUUUUUUUCUUUUUUUUUUUUUCUUUUUUUUUUUUGAGAAGAAGAAGAAUUGAGUAUUUCAAGAUUUAAAUUUGCAAGCCUAGAAGAAUCAAUCAACAAUGAUGCUUUUUUUUUCUACUGAACCACGUAAUUGAUUGCUGUAUGGACUGAGUCAUGUUGAGUAACAGCAGUGAAAUGGAAGCGUAGGUUGUUUUCAUGAUCCAAAGAUAUCAGCAGAAGACGGAUGUGCAGAGGACAGGAGAAAUGGACUGAGUUUAUCCAGUAACAACAUAGCUCUUAGAUGACGUCGGAUGGAAGAAAAAGAUCUACAGCAGGGACCAGGGAGAAUCAGGACAAGAAAAGAUCUACAGCAGGGGCCAGGACCAGGGAGAAUCAGGACAAGGUGGCGAGCCAGGCAGAACCAGGGGAGGAUCAGAGGGCACAGAUCAGGGUGAAGCGCAGCAGUAUCCAGAAGGGGGAGCCGGGUCUACAAGGCAGAGUAGCUUCAGAUCCACGUUGACCACCAGGGGGAGCUCAGCUGGUCUAGAUCAGAGCAAGCCAAAGAUGGGUGUCCCAAAAGCAGCAGGAGAAAGAGGGCUCACAAGCAGAGGGUAUCAGGGGUCGUUGCCAUAGCACAGUCAUGAGGAGGGCAUUUGGUUUGUAUGGGUUGAGGUAUUCUGUGUAACUUAAGUCAUUAUUUCAGUUUGUAUUCCAGAACCCUUUGCUCGCGAAGUUCUGUUCUUUCCUUUUCAGGCGUGGUGAAUGAAUGUUUGAAAAUCCGAUAUGGCAUCUGUCCCGUUGUUGGCCAAGUCUGAUGAAUGCCGUUAGUGUGCUGCGGAGACGAUCGUCCUUAUUCGACCACGCCUCCGCUGAGAUUUGGCUAUAGGCCCGUGGAAAAGUCGUCCCCCAUAUCCGCUUAAAUCCAUUAGGUCUGUCCUGAGAAGCAAUCCACGUUCGAAGGGUUUUUCGGAGUUGAUGUUCGACUGCGUCCCUACACGACACCACUACCUCUACUGCAACACCCGCUGCGUCAGUCCAACAUAUGAUGCCAGGGCAGCCGCAUAUUGCCUGCCGGUAAAAUUUUGAUGAGUUCAUGCAUGAAUUUUUAUUGUAAUUUAGAGCAAAAGCUUUGUAUAUUUAAAAAAAAAAAAAAGAAAAAAAAAAGAAAAGAGAAAAAAUAUAUACAAUACGUUUUUGCAAAAGUAAAUGCGUUAUUGUAAAAUUAUUAACAUACAGAUGUUGCAAAUGCACUUUCUGAGUAGUUAUGUAAUGUUAUUGCAGUGUUUUUGGGGUUUGGGAGGGGCAAAUUCGUUUCUCGAGUUCUCUUUCCCACAGGCCCUGUUCACAUUAGAGGCGAUAAAACCAAAAAGGGAUUCCAGGAUGUUGUGUGGACCCUUUUAGAGUCAGUUUGACUUCCCUGUAAAGAAUUCUUUAAAAGCUUCAAGGAAAGCCUCUGAUUUAGGAAGGUACCCCAUUGGAUUUGUUUUAAAGUCUUGUUUGGAAUCAUGAACUAUACAUUUAUCAAUAUUUUCCAGUAUUACAUGUUGGGAUUUGCAAUGGGGUGGGAGGGGUGUGGGUCGUUAACCCAAAUCUUUUCCUAGACUUUGCAGCUUGUGAAAGCGGCUUUAUUAAGGGUGGCAAUGGCUUGAAUAGCGCAGUAUGGGGAAGGAACCACCAGUGUGUCUGCCAGUGGAUGCGUGGCCCUGUUACAAGCCUUCCAUGGCAGCUAGACCAACGUUUACAUGGGUAACGCGGCAUGGGAUCAAACGCUUUCAUUUUAUUUAACACAUCAUUAUGGCCAUUUUCCUAUCAUUAUUGAAUUGGUGUUUGGAUAUUGGUUGUGUAUUUGGAUAUUGUUUAUGGGGUUUGUGGAUCUGGGGGGGGGGAUUGCCUAAUUUUGACUCUUACAGAUUGAAACAAACCCUUAAAGAACAAAGCUGGUGGUCCAACCAAUAUCUGCUCCACUUCCCCCACUUGAGCAAAGCUUCUUCGCUAGAGGUCCAGAUGCUUUUAACAUUUUCUAAUGGCAAGUAAUUGUGGGUAUUCAUGUAAAUGGCAUUCAUUUGCUUUUGUCUGUCGUUGUAUUGUACUUGAAUACAAUUUGAUGGCUAAGUGUAAGCAGUAACUGUAUUAGUUGCUUAUUUGUCUUUUUAAUUUGUGUAUUUUGAAAAGCGGGGAUGUGUGUAGGCUUUCUUUUCCUCCCCCUCUGCAUUUUUCAGUGUGCAGUGUCCCUGAAUGCUUUCAACCGAAGAUGUCAUCCUAACAUUGUUUGUAAAGAUUUGCUUUCGCAUCAAGCAACUUCAGCCUCUUUUCGGUCACGUAAGGUCACUAAGCAAGUCCAUUUGUUUCUAACCUUUUCCAUUUUUAAUAGUCUGUUACAACCUGUAAAAUGUGUGGUCGCACACUUAUUACAAAUUAGUUUUGUAAUUUGUAUUUAAGUGUACAUUCUGUAACUGUUCCCAUUUUCAGUUAAUAAAUGCAUAGCCUGUUGUGAUUGAAAUUUUGGUAUGCAUUUGUUUCUUGGGGGAAUGUGUGGGGCUUUCUUGGGUGUUUCUUUAUGCUUUUUCAGGUAUGAGUGUAAAGCUUGGCGCUUUUUGUAGCUUGGAUGCCAGGGCUUGAUGUCAACUCUGUGCAAGGUGGAGAGGCAGAUCAGUCCAGUCCUACAGCAGUGUGCGAAGGAGGAAAGGCAAAUUGUAUAUACAAAAUUUAAGGAUAUACCGUAAAUUUGUAGACUCUUUGGCUUUAAGCCUGUGCUUUUGAUAUCUGAAUCUUGCAGAUUUGAUGUUUUUACUUGAUCAUUGGGUGGGUGUAGGGGUCUUGUUGCUUUGCCAUUUGGUCUUGCAGAAUCUUGCAAAAGCCUUGAAGAUUGGCACCUAUCAGAAGAAGUUAUGACCUGAAAUCGCCCGCUUCCACUGAACGCCUCAUCAGGCCAGACAGUCGUUCUAUAGAUUCGUAACCUUUUAAAUUUUCUUUAACUGCCCAGCCACUUCUCUGCGCAACUGUGCAGUGACAAAUGCUUUACAAAUGUAUAGCAGCAGUCUUUAUUUCAGCUGUCGCACAACUGUGCUUCAGAUUCCAAAUUUAAAGUGGCUGGGAACGGCUGCGCAACUGUGCAGCUUUAUUUGGCAUUGGCUCAACAGCCGUACAUAAACUGGAAAAGAUGUGUUUGGGGUGGGAAAGGGGAUCUGCACUUUUCUCUCUCUUCUGCAGAAAUCUCAUCAGCCAGCUGUGUGGUGAAAGUUACAUGAUGUCGCCCUGUGGAGUCUGUAGUUACCAGGUUUCUUGAAUCUUUAACUUGAUGGUAGAAUCCUCAUGCAACUUUUUAUAAACUUCAGUAACAUCAAUCGCCAAUGCUUCAGAAGCUACACUACCUUUAUGCUUCAUGCACUUUAAGUUUCUUUUACAUCUUAACUCCUCAGUUGAGUCACAGUUAGUAUUGCAAUCGGUGUGUGGUGGAAGUGUUUGUGUGUAGAAGCUCUUUGUUUCAGAUUACCCGUCUGUCCCCCUGCCUUCUCGACUGCAUCCGAAUGCAAGGCUGUCUGUGAGAGCAGUUGUCCCCGGUGAAUGUCGUCUUCACUUGAAUGAAUGGCCAAUCGAAUCCCCCCUUCUGUGCGCUUGAGAGCUUUGUCCAAACCUUGGAAGCCCUUCGCCGAAGUCCCUCUGUGUGUCUGCGCGUCUUUUUUUUUUCUGUUUAUCCCCCACCUCCCUCUCCAAUUCUUCAUUUUCUUAGGUCAAUUUCAUUUAGGGAGCAAAAUUGUCUUGUGUCCGUCUGGGAGAACCCUAACCGCCUGAUGAAACCCAUCCACUCGCUCUGAUCAACCUCAUUCGUCAUAUUUUGCUGCUAAUCGUGCAUCCCUCUGCUGCUAUCUGCUGAGUUAAGUACAUGUAGUUGAUCUUAAUCUUGUGUCUGGGUAGAAGCAUUCACCCUUUUUAUAGAUAUGCAUGCACAUAACACUUUAAAUCAAACCGUAUCAGUGUGUGUGUUGGUCGCUUUGGGGAGGGAUGGGGCAACACUUUCUCUCUUUUCAGGUACGCUGUUUGUGAUUCCUCUAAAAAUUAAGGCUGAGCCAUAACAUGGGAGUGGAUGGAUGUGCUUGCGUCAAAGCCGUAACUAGUACCUGCAUUGGUUUUAAAGUGUUUUUUUUAAAAAUUGUGUUGGGAUUGGGAAGAGGGAGGGGGGGUUGUGGGCUUGUAAACGUGUUGUUCUUUUCAUUGCAGCUAUAGACUUGGUAAAUCAGUACUCUGAAGAACUGGGUGUAAAGCGCCGCUACCUGGAGAUAAGUCUAUACGUGCACUUUUGCCUCUUAAGAAAUUCUGAGAAUAGUUCGGGGAGUCUGGGGGGAAACCGAAAACCCUGCGAGUAUCUGUCUAGUUACAGGAAUGGUGAUUUUACAAAGGAGGCUAUUUUGUUCUGGCCGUGUUGGUGGAAAUCCAAGACCUGGGACCGUUGUGUGGUGGUAAAUGACAUUUGUAUCACAUUUGGUUAUGAAUCUUUGGGGUUGGGUGGGGUGGGGGGGUUCUAAACCCUUUUCUGUGUUUCAGAUUUUUGUUUAAAUAGGAUCACGUCACCUGAAUGCAAGUGCAGCCUUGAACAAGACCUAACUAGUCAGAUUUGAUCUUCGAAGUAAAGGCGUGUGAAUAUGCUGCAUAUUGAAGACAAAAUUACUACAGUAAUAUCGAUGGGUUUUGAAGAGUUCGACUGGGGAUUUUGGGGGGGAAACCUGCAAUCUUUUGUGUAGUUUCAUACUAAAGAAGGACCGUUCGAGACGAGAGUUUUGUAGAGCAGCAGGUUUGAGGUUUUUCUUUUUUCCUGGGGGAACAAUCUUUGGAUUGUUCUUUCAGGUUUUGCUUUUUAACCUCCUAAGAAAAAAAGCAAAA
ensembl:lincRNA